rnacentral:rRNA from 1 species
GACGAACGCUGGCGGCGUGCUUAACACAUGCAAGUCGAACGGAAAGGCCCUGCUUGCAGGGUACUCGAGUGGCGAACGGGUGAGUAACACGUGGGUGAUCUGCCCUGCACUUCGGGAUAAGCCUGGGAAACUGGGUCUAAUACCGGAUAGGAGCCAUUUUUAGUGUGAUGGUUGGAAAGUUUUUUCGGUGUAGGAUGAACUCGCGGCCUAUCAGCUUGUUGGUGGGGUAAUGGCCUACCAAGGCGGCGACGGGUAGCCGGCCUGAGAGGGUGGACGGCCACAUUGGGACUGAGAUACGGCCCAGACUCCUACGGGAGGCAGCAGUGGGGAAUAUUGCACAAUGGGCGCAAGCCUGAUGCAGCGACGCCGCGUGGGGGAUGACGGCCUUCGGGUUGUAAACUCCUUUCGCUAGGGACGAAGCUUUUUGUGACGGUACCUAGAUAAGAAGCACCGGCUAACUACGUG